rnacentral:rRNA from 1 species
UACAGAGGUGGCAAGCGUUGCUCGGUAUCACUGGGCUUAAAGGGCGCGUAGGCGGUGCGGUACGGUUUCGGUGAAAUCCCUCGGCCCAACCGAGGAACAGCCGGGGCUACGGCCGCGCUAGACGGCAUCAGGGGACAGUGGAACUCCCGGUGGAGCGGUGAAAUGCGUAGAUAUCGGGAGGAACAUCUGUGGCGAAGGCGACACCCUGGACCAGCACUGACACUGAGGCACGAAAGCGUGGGGAGCAAACAGG